UAUAAUUUCAACACCACUGGUAGGUCAGCAGCUGCGACCCACCCAAAAAUCCCGUCAGUUCAACGCAGUUAUGGUCGAUUGAGAGCGAGCGACGGCCGGACUAAGGGCAGCAGCGGCAACUCUCAUAUUUCAGUUCUACUCUUCCAUCUUGUGUUGGCUCUGGUGUACGACUACAUGCGGUGGCGGCCUGUACAAGGGUCUGUCGAUAAUAGCUGAGCACGACAAGGCGACCCGAGGGAGAUGGAGGAAGACCAGGUUAAAUUAGUGAACUGCCCUAUAUGGAAUCGCUAGAAAAAAAUCAUGUCAAUUUCCUCUACCGCGCCUCCACUCUGCAAGAAAAAGAAGUCCAGGCUAUAUACUCUAGACUGUUGGAUUCAUCUAGAACCCUAAAAAGAUCGGUUUGAUCUGUAACAUAUCAUCUACAAAAAUUGAUUUUUUACAUUUAAAUAUUUUUGCAUUGCUCUUGACUAGAUUGUUUUGUAGGGAGCAUAGGAGAGCAAGAUGGGGUGGUCUGCAUCACCUUCAGUUGGCACAUGCGCAUGCACCUGCAGUAAUCAUUAUCUUUCCCAUGGUUAAGAUGUAUGAUGCAUGAACUUCUAAUAUUUUGAUGUUAAUUUCAAAUGGCUGAUGGAAGAUAAUUUGCUUCUAAUAGUUGUUAUGUAUUGACCCUUGCUUGUUCUUGUUGUAGAUGAAAUUGACCUGAUAGCUCUUAUGUUAGCACUUUCUAAAGUUCACAUUUAUUACAUGCCAUUUGUGUGCUCAAGAAAUAUCUGGACAAUCUUUUGCUAGCGGUAAGUUUCAUGUUUGUGACUUUUUGCUAUGUCAAACGAAGAACAGAAGCCCGAAGCCCGUUACUGUGUGAAUAAUGGCCUCCUUCUGAAGAUAUUUAAUUCACCAUGCUUAUUCAGUUUGUGACGGAAUGGUCUGAUUGCUGAUCCGGGUUUUUUGCAUUAGCGAUGAAGUAGAUGAGUGCAAUGUGGUUAAAGAAGGGAAAGGAACAAGCGAGAUGAGAUAUUUUGAAGCGACAUCAAUUCUAGAGAAAGAUGGACGAUGUGCAGGGAAAUGAGGGGUGGAGGAAAAGAUGUCACUUGUCUUCUCAAAAUUAGAGGGUUAAAGAGAUAGGACAACUGCCAAGGAGGAAAGUGCAGAUGAAGAGAGCAGAUAUGAAGGGGAAGGAGGGGCGGAGAAAAAUAUGUCACUUCUAUUCUCAAGUAGAAGAUGGUUUGAAGAGACAUGACAACCACCGAGGAGGAAAUAAGCAUGAGCGA